CUUAAAUUGAAGAGUUUGAUCAUGGCUCAGAUUGAACGCUGGCGGCAGGCCUAACACAUGCAAGUCGAGCGGAAACGAAAUAGC
rnacentral:rRNA from 1 species